GCAUAUUACAUUUAAUAGCAUCACUUGGAGCUGAACAAAAGGUCCAUUUAUUAUCAGCUAUCCCUCGGGAUAAAGGCAGUUUGGAGAGUUCUACUCAACAAUUUGGCAGAAAACAGAAAUCACAUAUAGAACGAGGCUGCUUGGAUACAGGUGCUGUUCUACAUCAGGAAAAAAAAAAAAAGCUUCCUGUAAAACAGUAGGCUAUGUUAGCUCGGCAGGAGCCUCGCACGUCUCCUCUGUUGGGUAUCUCUGGAUUGCAGCAUUCCCACUUCCCACCGUGCUUGAUUUAAUCUUGUAUUGUUCACCAGGACCUCAAAACCCACUGCUAAUUUCACCAUCAAGAGACCGAAAGGAAUGAUAGACUUGGAAACAGAAUUAAAAGCAGUUAAGGACUACGGGGGUGGGAAAUCAGUAAAGGUUACUGAGUGUCAGUCAGUCAUGCCCCAUUCAAUCAAAGUUGUCAUCUUGAUUAAAAAAAAAAAAAAGAGCAAUGGGAAU